rnacentral:rRNA from 1 species
BGGAUKCARRGMCCGUGMAUCCUGGCUGUUGAAUUCAGGAUCGAUCGGACAUUUUUUGUUCGGUCGGUUUGAUUUUUUAUCAGCCGCUAUUUAAACGGACGUCGCGACCCGUUCGGCGUUGCAGUGUUUAAAGAAACGAAGUGACAGUUCCUAGGAUUCGGAUUUUCGUCAGAUUGUCCGGAUUUUGGGAGCCUUUGUAUUCUAGCCAACUUUGCCAGACGGUAAAAUUAACGGCAACCGAAAUUGUUUCGGUGCCGGUCUGCGACGAUUCUUCGGGCCUCUUUCCGACCCGUCUUGAAACACGGACCAAGGAGUCUAACGUGUGCGCGAGUCACCGGGUUUCAUCGACCGGUGUUCCGUAUUAACGGCCCUGUGUCGGUGUUAUAUAAACGAAACCCGCAUAAAGGCGUAAUGAAAGUGAAAUGUUAAACAAUUUGUAUUGCCUUUCGGGGUAAUACAAAUUGUUUAACGAUCGGGAAGAUAACGUGUCGAGUACACCUUCUCGCAUUUAUGGUCGAGACCGACCGUUCGCAUUCCCGGGGCGUCUUGCUAGCUCGAUGUCAUGUCGGUUUGUUUUGCAUCGGCUCGUCGUUUCGGCGGCGUGUUCGGUACAUUAUGCAAUUGUAGACGUCGAUCUGAGGCGCACUCUUAGCGUACACGUUGGUACCCGAAAGAUGGUGAACUAUGCCUGGCUAGGAUGAAGUCAGGGGAAACCCUGAUGGAGGUCCGCAGGGAUUCUGACGUGCAAAUCGAUCCUCA